UAGGGAAUCUUCCGCAAUGGACGCAAGUCUGACGGAGCAACGCCGCGUGAGUGAAGAAGGAUUUCGGUUCGUAAAACUCUGUUGUUAGAGAAGAACAGCGCAUAGAGUAACUGUUAUGCGUGUGACGGUAUCUAACCAGAAAGCCACGGCUAACUACGUGCCAGCAGCCGCGGUAAUACGUAGGUGGCAAGCGUUGUCCGGAUUUAUUGGGCGUAAAGCGAGCGCAGGCGGUCAAUUAAGUCUGAUGUGAAAGCCCCCGGCUCAACCGGGGAGGGUCAUUGGAAACUGGUUGACUUGAGUGCAGAAGAGGAGGGUGGAAUUCCAUGUGUAGCGGUGAAAUGCGUAGAUAUAUGGAGGAACACCAGUGGAGAAGGCGACUCUCUGGACUGUAACUGACGCUGAGGCUCGAAAGCGUGGGUAGCAAACAGG
rnacentral:rRNA from 1 species